GCAUUGGUGGUUUAGUGGUAGAAUUCUCGCCUGCCACAGGGGAGAUCCGGGUCCGAUUCCUGGCCAAUACA
rnacentral:tRNA from 1 species